rnacentral:RNase_P_RNA from 1 species
AACACGAGUUGGCUUAUCGCGUCUGAGCAAUUGGGCGAGGAAAGUCCGGGCAGCACAGGGCACCCUACUUCCUAACGGGAAGGCGGGCGGUUGGGAACGACCGUUCGACAGCCAGUGUCACAGAGAAUAUACCGCCAUUUAGUAAUGAAUAAUGGACAAUGUAAAAUAAAUAGUGAUGCAGGAAACUGCAUUAUCCAUUAAUUAUUAUCCAUUAUUCAUUACUAGCUGGUAAGGGUGAAAAGGUGGGGUAAGAGCCUACCGCCCGAUGGGCGACCAGCGGGGCAGGAUAAACCUUAGGGGCUGAAAGACCAAAUAAGCGUCGGACGUGGGGCGGCCCGUUCUCGUUUCAGCGUGAGCUGAAUGCCGACGCGGGUAGGUCGAACGAGGUGGUCGGUGACGGCCAUCCCAGAUAAAUGAUAGGCCAUUUGGUGGGGCUGCAAAGUUUCACUGGAAGACAGAACCCGGCUUAUAGACUCGUGUUGUUU